rnacentral:rRNA from 1 species
GACGAACGCUGGCGGCGUGCUUAACACAUGCAAGUCGAACGGAAAGGCCCUGCUUUUGUGGGGUGCUCGAGUGGCGAACGGGUGAGUAACACGUGAGUAACCUGCCCUUGACUUUGGGAUAACUUCAGGAAACUGGGGCUAAUACCGGAUAGGAGCUCCUGCUGCAUGGUGGGGGUUGGAAAGUUUCGGCGGUUGGGGAUGGACUCGCGGCUUAUCAGCUUGUUGGUGGGGUAGUGGCUUACCAAGGCUUUGACGGGUAGCCGGCCUGAGAGGGUGACCGGCCACAUGGGGACUGAGAUACGGCCCAGACUCCUACGGGAGGCAGCAGUGGGGAAUAUUGCACAAUGGGCGGAAGCCUGAUGCAGCAACGCCGCGGGCGGGAUGACGGCCUUCGGGUUGUAAACCGCUGUCGCCUGUGACGAAGCGUGAGUGACGGUAAUGGGUAAAGAAGCACCGGCUAACUACGUG